rnacentral:rRNA from 1 species
AACGGACGCUGGCGGCACGCCUAACACAUGCAAGUCGAACGAGAAGGUUCUUUCGGGAACUGGACCGUGGCGGACGGAUGAGUAACACGUGGGAAUAUGCCUUUCGGUAGAGAACAACGCUUAGAAACGAGUGCUAAUACUCUAUACGCCCUCAGGGGGAAAGAUUUAUCGCCGAGAGAUUGGCCCGCGUUAGAUUAGCUAGUUGGUGAGGUAAUGGCUCACCAAGGCGACGAUCUAUAGCUGGUUUGAGAGGAUGAUCAGCCACACUGGGACUGAGACACGGCCCAG